AGACCUUCAAGCCAGUGGACUUGAAGGGCCCAUUCCUUCAGGAAUUUCUCGUUUGAAGAAUUUGGAUGACUUGCGAAUCAGUGACAUAGUUGGUAACUCUGGUUUUCCACAGUUGCAAGGUAUUGAACAACUGCAAUAUAUGACAUUGAGGAACUGUGGUAUAUCUGGAGAGAUCCCCAAAUUUAUGUACCAGUUUGUAAAUCUCAGACGGCUGUAAGUAA